rnacentral:rRNA from 1 species
CCUACGGGGGGCAGCAGUGGGGAAUAUUGGACAAUGGGCGAAAGCCUGAUCCAGCCAUGCCGCGUGUGUGAAGAAGGCCUUCGGGUUGUAAAGCACUUUCAGUGGGGAAGAAAGCCUUGGGGCUAAUACCCUCGAGGAAGGACAUCACCCACAGAAGAAGCACCGGCUAACUCCGUGCCAGCAGCCGCGGUAAUACGGAGGGUGCGAGCGUUAAUCGGAAUUACUGGGCGGAAAGCGCGCGUAGGCGGUCUGAUAAGCCGGUUGUGAAAGCCCCGGGCUCAACCUGGGAACGGCAUCCGGAACUGUCAGGCUAGAGUGCAGGAGAGGAAGGUAGAAUUCCCGGUGUAGCGGUGAAAUGCGUAGAGAUCGGGAGGAAUACCAGUGGCGAAGGCGGCCUUCUGGACUGACACUGACGCUGAGGUGCGAAAGCGUGGGUAGCAAACAGGAUUAGAUACCCCUGUAGUC